rnacentral:rRNA from 1 species
GACGAACGCUGGCGGCGUGCUUAACACAUGCAAGUCGAACGGUGAAGCGCCUUCCUUUUUGGUGGGUGUGGAUGAGUGGCGAACGGGUGAGUAACACGUGAGUAACCUGCCCCCUUCUUCUGGAUAACCGCAUGAAAGUGUGGCUAAUACGGGAUAUUCUGGGUCUGUCGCAUGAUGGGUCUGGGAAAGAUAUUGUUUCGGUGGGGGAUGGGCUCGCGGCCUAUCAGCUUGUUGGUGGGGUGAUGGCCUACCAAGGCGGUGACGGGUAGCCGGCCUGAGAGGGUGGACGGUCACACUGGGACUGAGACACGGCCCAGACUCCUACGGGCGGCAGCAGUGGGGAAUAUUGCACCAUGGGCGUAAGCCUGAUGCAGCGACGCCGCGUGAGGGAUGGAGGCCUUCGGGUUGUGAACAUCUUUCGCCAGUGAAGCAGGCCUGCCUCGUUUGUGGGUGGGUUGACGGUAGCUGGAUAAGAAGCGCCGGCUAACUACGUG